rnacentral:rRNA from 1 species
CUCGUAGGCGGCCAACUAAGUCAUACGUGAAAUCCCUCGGCUUAACCGGGGAACUGCGUCUGAUACUGGAUGGCUUGAGAUUGGGGGAGGGAUGCGGAAUUCCAGGUGUAGCGGUGAAAUGCGUAGAUAUCUGGAGGAACACCGGUGGCGAAGGCGGCAUCCUGGACCAAUAUUGACGCUGAGGAGCGAAAGCUAGGGGAGCAAACG